rnacentral:rRNA from 1 species
GGUUAAGCGACUAAGCGUACACGGUGGAUGCCCUGGCAGUCAGAGGCGAUGAAGGACGUGCUAAUCUGCGAUAAGCGUCGGUAAGGUGAUAUGAACCGUUAUAACCGGCGAUUUCCGAAUGGGGAAACCCAGUGUGUUUCGACACACUAUCAUUAACUGAAUCCAUAGGUUAAUGAGGCGAACCGGGGGAACUGAAACAUCUAAGUACCCCGAGGAAAAGAAAUCAACCGAGAUUCCCCCAGUAGCGGCGAGCGAACGGGGAGCAGCCCAGAGCCUGAAUCAGUAUGUGUGUUAGUGGAAGCGUCUGGAAAGGCGCGCGAUACAGGGUGACAGCCCCGUACACAAAAAUGCACAUGCUGUGAGCUCGAUGAGUAGGGCGGGACACGUGGUAUCCUGUCUGAAUAUGGGGGGACCAUCCUCCAAGGCUAAAUACUCCUGACUGACCGAUAGUGAACCAGUACCGUGAGGGAAAGGCGAAAAGAACCCCGGCGAGGGGAGUGAAAAAGAACCUGAAACCGUGUACGUACAAGCAGUGGGAGCUCGCUUAGGCGUGUGACUGCGUACCUUUUGUAUAAUGGGUCAGCGACUUAUAUUCUGUAGCAAGGUUAACCGAAUAGGGGAGCCGAAGGGAAACCGAGUCUUAACUGGGCGUUAAGUUGCAGGGUAUAGACCCGAAACCCGGUGAUCUAGCCAUGGGCAGGUUGAAGGUUGGGUAACACUAACUGGAGGACCGAACCGACUAAUGUUGAAAAAUUAGCGGAUGACUUGUGGCUGGGGGUGAAAGGCCAAUCAAACCGGGAGAUAGCUGGUUCUCCCCGAAAGCUAUUUAGGUAGCGCCUCGUGAAUUCAUCUCCGGGGGUAGAGCACUGUUUCGGCAAGGGGGUCAUCCCGACUUACCAACCCGAUGCAAACUGCGAAUACCGGAGAAUGUUAUCACGGGAGACACACGGCGGGUGCUAACGUCCGUCGUGAAGAGGGAAACAACCCAGACCGCCAGCUAAGGUCCCAAAGUCAUGGUUAAGUGGGAAACGAUGUGGGAAGGCCCAGACAGCCAGGAUGUUGGCUUAGAAGCAGCCAUCAUUUAAAGAAAGCGUAAUAGCUCACUGGUCGAGUCGGCCUGCGCGGAAGAUGUAACGGGGCUAAACCAUGCACCGAAGCUGCGGCAGCGACGCUUAUGCGUUGUUGGGUAGGGGAGCGUUCUGUAAGCCUGCGAAGGUGUGCUGUGAGGCAUGCUGGAGGUAUCAGAAGUGCGAAUGCUGACAUAAGUAACGAUAAAGCGGGUGAAAAGCCCGCUCGCCGGAAGACCAAGGGUUCCUGUCCAACGUUAAUCGGGGCAGGGUGAGUCGACCCCUAAGGCGAGGCCGAAAGGCGUAGUCGAUGGGAAACAGGUUAAUAUUCCUGUACUUGGUGUUACUGCGAAGGGGGGACGGAGAAGGCUAUGUUGGCCGGGCGACGGUUGUCCCGGUUUAAGCGUGUAGGCUGGUUUUCCAGGCAAAUCCGGAAAAUCAAGGCUGAGGCGUGAUGACGAGGCACUACGGUGCUGAAGCAACAAAUGCCCUGCUUCCAGGAAAAGCCUCUAAGCAUCAGGUAACAUCAAAUCGUACCCCAAACCGACACAGGUGGUCAGGUAGAGAAUACCAAGGCGCUUGAGAGAACUCGGGUGAAGGAACUAGGCAAAAUGGUGCCGUAACUUCGGGAGAAGGCACGCUGAUAUGUAGGUGAAGUCCCUCGCGGAUGGAGCUGAAAUCAGUCGAAGAUACCAGCUGGCUGCAACUGUUUAUUAAAAACACAGCACUGUGCAAACACGAAAGUGGACGUAUACGGUGUGACGCCUGCCCGGUGCCGGAAGGUUAAUUGAUGGGGUUAGCGCAAGCGAAGCUCUUGAUCGAAGCCCCGGUAAACGGCGGCCGUAACUAUAACGGUCCUAAGGUAGCGAAAUUCCUUGUCGGGUAAGUUCCGACCUGCACGAAUGGCGUAAUGAUGGCCAGGCUGUCUCCACCCGAGACUCAGUGAAAUUGAACUCGCUGUGAAGAUGCAGUGUACCCGCGGCAAGACGGAAAGACCCCGUGAACCUUUACUAUAGCUUGACACUGAACAUUGAGCCUUGAUGUGUAGGAUAGGUGGGAGGCUUUGAAGUGUGGACGCCAGUCUGCAUGGAGCCGACCUUGAAAUACCACCCUUUAAUGUUUGAUGUUCUAACGUUGACCCGUAAUCCGGGUUGCGGACAGUGUCUGGUGGGUAGUUUGACUGGGGCGGUCUCCUCCUAAAGAGUAACGGAGGAGCACGAAGGUUGGCUAAUCCUGGUCGGACAUCAGGAGGUUAGUGCAAUGGCAUAAGCCAGCUUGACUGCGAGCGUGACGGCGCGAGCAGGUGCGAAAGCAGGUCAUAGUGAUCCGGUGGUUCUGAAUGGAAGGGCCAUCGCUCAACGGAUAAAAGGUACUCCGGGGAUAACAGGCUGAUACCGCCCAAGAGUUCAUAUCGACGGCGGUGUUUGGCACCUCGAUGUCGGCUCAUCACAUCCUGGGGCUGAAGUAGGUCCCAAGGGUAUGGCUGUUCGCCAUUUAAAGUGGUACGCGAGCUGGGUUUAGAACGUCGUGAGACAGUUCGGUCCCUAUCUGCCGUGGGCGCUGGAGAACUGAGGGGGGCUGCUCCUAGUACGAGAGGACCGGAGUGGACGCAUCACUGGUGUUCGGGUUGUCAUGCCAAUGGCACUGCCCGGUAGCUAAAUGCGGAAGAGAUAAGUGCUGAAAGCAUCUA